GGCGCGGCGCGGCGCGGCUCCGGAAUCCGACUGUCGACGCCUGGGGCGGGCGCCGUCCGCCGUCGGCGGCGCCACCAGUCUAGGGCACCAGCGCGCCACCUGCGAGCCAGGCCGACGCAUCGCGACAAAUGUCACCAACCUGUGAAGCAGUUGUAAACGCGGCUGAACAUGGAAAUCACUUGAACUGCUCGACCAGAACUACGUAUGCUACUACCUACUUUCAAUGGGAGGACCUGGGUUGCUUCUCUGACUACCGGAGGCUUGGGUCCGUGUCCGUAGAACCACAGAACACAGACCUGGACCAGUGAUUUGGAAGGUGACUGAAGUGAACACGCAUCUGGAGAAAACAUUUACAUUCAUGGGAUUCGUGCCGUGGUUACCGAAGUUUAGUGCAUAGAGCUAGAAACUACUACGGGGUACGUGUGUAC